rnacentral:rRNA from 1 species
UACGAGGGGUCCUAGCGUUGUUCGGAAUUAUUGGGCGUAAAGAGUAUGUAGGCGGCUAGAUAAGUCAGGUGUGAAAGCCCCGGGCUCAACCCGGGAAGUGCAUUUGAUACUGUCUAGCUUGAGUACUGGAGAGGGUAGUGGAAUUCCAGGUGUAGUGGUGAAAUACGUAGAUACCCGGAGGAACACCAGUGGCGAAGGCGGCUUCCUGGUCUGCGACUGACGCUGAGGCGCGAAAGCUAGGGGAGCAAACGGG